rnacentral:rRNA from 1 species
AUGACAUCAAGAAAGCAGGAAGUGCUGGCAACUAGGGAGUCUGCAUAUGCAAUUCACUUGGAACCACUACAAGCACAUCACUCAUGGGUGUUGUUCUACAAACGGGUAUUU